rnacentral:misc_RNA from 1 species
GAAUCCUUCUAUACAUUGCGCAAGGUAAACUUAAUUUUUUGUAAUUUGUGAGUUGAUAUUAUGUAUGCAUGCAUGUCUAUAACCUGAAAAUGUGUUAGCUUUGGCAAUGGAUUGCUUGAUACAUAUGGUGCCUACUGCACAAUAAUUUGCAAGUUAAACAGAGCAUUUAGGAUCUUAAUUUUUAAAGGCGCUUUCUUUUGCUUCUAAAAAGAUCUAAAUAACAAGCAUGUAAAUGGAACAAGUAAAAAACGUGACUAGUAAAU